AUCUGUCAACCUGCAACUUAAAAAAUCCUAUAAUAUACAGUGGUAUGCGAAUUUGGAGACAAUUAAAAAAUACCUUAAAAUUUGAUAGUUUAUCACUCUAUCUCCCCAUCGUG